AAGUGCUCCCACCGCCCAGUCCCCGGACCGACUGUCCCACCCGCGACCCAUGCUGGCCCCAGGUUAACGCCUGCAACCCCGGAGGGCCACAAAUCAAAGGUGGAUAAACAUGAUGAGAUGGGAGCAAGCUUAAGGGUACCAGAUGGAUAAUCACAUAUUCAUACCAUGGGACAUGCCCCUCGGAUGCAUCCUCAAGAAGGGAGAAAAGUU
rnacentral:lncRNA from 1 species